ensembl:lncRNA
GGCUAGUCUGAGAGGCUCCUGUAACGAGGCUGGAACAGCCUCUGCCUGGGUAAUUAUUCACGUCUGGAAAGGGGGAAGAAAUCCCCUCUGGGAAGUGCUGGUUUAUAGGGCAUCAAAACCUGGUGCAGCACAUUUCCUCAAGGGUAGGAAAAACUGUAGGAAAACGAGGGGAAAAAAAGGAGAUUUCAGGAUUGGAGUUGGGGUUUUGGUUGCUUUCAGGGACAAGAACUGUGACCACAGGGCUUGUGGGCAUCAUCAGGUGUGAGAUGAUCGCAGCAAUGCAGGUGCAGCAGCGGAGGGGUGAUGUUCCUUCUCCAGCCCCACGUGGGAGCAGCAUCUGGGGAAAACCAAAGCAAUGCCACCGCUUUGCUGGGUCUGAGCAUCCCUUGCACAGGUCCAAAGGCUCAGAAGAGAGGGAGUAAGCUUUAUGGGAACAGCUCACUUUUCCCUGCUACCGGGGUGCUCUCUGGCACUGCACGCUCCCUGCAUGGGCACGCAGGAGGAACUUCCAGCCUUCAUCGCUCACCCUUCAGCACAGAGCUGAGCCUCCAUCUGCUCUGACGCCUUUCCCAUCUCCUGCAGCCCUCAGCAGCACAGGAGGAGAACCCUCCAGAGAACAGCUGAACCCAUCUGCCAUGGACACCUCUUCGGGCCAAGACUUCUGCCAGAAACUUGCUUCUGCAUGGACUGCAGAGAGCAGCAAAACGAGCACACAACUAACCCUUACAUGGCUGGUGAGGGGUGAGGUAUCCCUGUCCAUAUGUUUAAAUACAUCAUUUCUUCUUGACAUCCCUCCCAAUUAUUGGUAGCAUCUCCUCCCAGCUUCUCUACCCAGAAUAUCUCUGGACUUGUCCAUCGCUGUGAUGGGGAAAGCACAGGGGUGGGUUUGCCACAACCCCAUCCUAUCUUACCCUCCCGCAGCACGCAGCUGUUUUGUCUCCUUCCCAACAUGGCCUAUGGGCUAAGCCCAAAUAAAAUGCAGCGUCCCCCAUCUUCUCUGCCCUGGUGGCUUCAGAAUGCCCAAAGGAAUGCAUGAUGUAGUGAAACGAAAGGUCAACGUUCUCAUCUCCACCUCCACUGUAGGCUCAAAGGGUGAACACAGCUCCCAGAAACCCAGCAAGACACUCCUAGAGAUCACAUACAGUUCUUGGGAGGGAAGGGAAUGCAAAGCCAGUCGGUCUAUUUAUAAUAUUUGCAGGUAAUGGCAUGCUAAUACAAUUCAUUAACACUCAGACACUGCUCAUUAGUGUCUUUUCACUUUCCUGUUGCAGGGCCCAUAUUUCUAUUUUACACAUAAUCUGUUUUAUUAAGCAGUUCCUUAAUAGAAAGAAAAGUAUUAUCUUCCAUGCAGAUUUUGCUUAAAUCCCUUUGAAUUUAAUUAGGCCCCAAAAGAUUCCAGGAAGUCUGAGUACAUAUCUGGACUGCAGAAAACUCAGGUGUACUCCACCUGCAAAGCGUUUCAUUUUUACUGAUCACUGCUACGUGCUCCACCUUCUUUCUGCAUGUGAUGUCAGGCAAUUUAAUUAUUCUGUAUUUCAAUUGCAGCUAUCCUGGGAAAGCUUUUCUUUUCUUUCUUUCUUUCUUU